rnacentral:rRNA from 1 species
AACGAACGCUGGCGGCAGGCUUAACACAUGCAAGUCGAACGCCCCGCAAGGGGAGUGGCAGACGGGUGAGUAACGCGUGGGAAUCUACCCAUCUCUGCGGAAUAGCCCCGGGAAACUGGAAUUAAUACCGUAUGUGCCCUACGGGGGAAAGAUUUAUCGGUAUUGGAUGAGCCCGCGUUGGAUUAGCUAGUUGGUGGGGUAAUGGCCUACCAAGGCGACGAUCCAUAGCUGGUCUGAGAGGAUGAUCAGCCACACUGGGACUGAGACACGGCCCAGACUCCUACGGGAGGCAGCAGUGGGGAAUAUUGGACAAUGGGCGCAAGCCUGAUCCAGCCAUGCCGCGUGAGUGAUGACGGCCUUAGGGUUGUAAAGCUCUUUCGGCGGGGACGAUAAUGACGGUACCCGCAGAAGAAGCCCCGGCUAACUUCGUGCCAGCCGCCGCCGUAAUAC